rnacentral:rRNA from 1 species
CCUACGGGUGGCUGCAGUAAGGAAUAUUGGUCAAUGGACGAAAGUCUGAACCAGCCAUCCCGCGUGCAGGAUGAAAGCCCUAUGGGUUGUAAACUGCUUUUAGCAGAGAAGAAAAGCUUCCAUUUAUGGGGGUCUGACGGUAUCUGCAGAAUAAGCACCGGCUAACUCCGUGCCAGCCGCCGCGGUAAUCCGGAGGGUGCGAGCAUUAUCGGGAAUAACGGGGUUGAAGGCGGACGUAGACGUCAGUGGUGAAAUCUUGUCGCUUAACGAUAAAAUUGCCAAUGAUACUGGUACUCUUGAAGUGGGUUGAGGUUAGCGGAAUGUGACAUGUAGCGGUGAAAUGCAUAGAUAUGUCAUGGAACACCAAUUGCGAAGGCAGCUAACUGGGCCUUGAUUGACGCUGAGGCACGAAAGCGUGGGUAGCGAACAGGAGUAGAUACCCUUGUAGUC